CCGGAGAAAGUGCGUCUCUCUCCCGGCUUACAAAAAGUUGACAUCGAGUCGGUUGAAAAGUAGGUUAAUUAGUAGUGUCUGACAGAGCUCCCCAGCAGUGACUUACUUCAGGUGCCGCAUAUUACUGCUACUCUGCUGAAAAAGGCUUUGUUUUCACCUAGCUUUGUAGCCUCGAGUGUCUGAAUAUUGAUUAACUCCGGGUAUUUGACUUCUUUGAAAUACGCUCGCAAUAUUCCGAUAAACCGCAUCCUUAUACUCGGGAUGUUCUUUAAAUGUAAUUAAAGUAUUAAAAGCGCUUUGCUGCUGGAAAUGUGGCCCUUGGCAACGAAGGGAGAAACCUUUGCCGUCAGAGUUUGCCGAUGUCCCUUAGCGAGGGGAUACGGUCAGCAAACUGCCGCGCAGGGACCUACCCCAGAGAGAGCUUUUCUAUCUUUUUCUCAUGGGAAGAAAACAAACAAAAAAAAAAACCGAAAUAUUUACAUUCCCCAGAGGGUCUCGGUGAGCUCGGUCGAGUCCCAUCCCCAUAUCUGGCCACGCAAAGCCAGAAAACCUUCCCACUUCCGAAAUGUCUGGGGAAUCGCCCCGCACGGCAGCACUCUCCAUCCUCCCCUUUGGGCGGCUGUCGCGACAGACGCGAUGUCGGGACGGAGGGGCGCACGGGGCGGCCGGACAGCCCCAGCCGCGGUCCCCGGGCGCGCAGCGCAGCGCGGCGCGGAGCGUUUUUCUAAUGCCAACCCCUGGAUGCGCUCGGCGUUUCAAAGGCCUCUGGGGGGUGAACAAGAGAGUUCCUCGGUCAACCCCUCUCCUAUGUGAACAUCUGUUACUUAGGUGCCGUCUGUUGUCUUUACCUGGCUGUGUCGGGGCGGGGUUACGGGAAAGUGCCUCUCCAAAAAAACAAUGUGACGUUAAACGCGGAGAGACAAGUGCAGAGCUCAAGGCGUGUUCGAGGUGGCGGCAGCGGUGCUCUGCCCGAGCAAGGAGCGCGGCACCGCUUCCUAAAAGCGCAUCCUUCCCUCGGGGUGCGAGGGACGAAACGCAGCUGGGUUGGAGAGGGACGGCCCGCUGUGAGCCCCAUCCCGGCCCGACCCGGCCCAGCUUGCUCAGCCCCGGCACUUCGGCCGCCUGUCCCAAAAGGCUGUUAUCUUCCCUUCGCUUGCCCGGCUCGGCCCCAUCGCGAACCAGUCUCACGGGCCGUGGGCAGCGGGACCGGACCGGCAGCGAACAGCCCGACUCGGGUCCAUUCUCAACACUUUAAAUGAAAAGACCCCGGCUCGAUACUUCGUGAUCUUUGUAUUUCCUUCCCUCGGCCAAGGUGGCAUCCCCCUGUCCUCCCCGCUCCGUCUAAGCCAUGUCCGUGGGACUCCCACUGACCCUGGUCUGGUUUUUAGAACGCACUUAAGCUGCAGAAGUUGCUGACACAUAAAUAAGCCAUCAAGGCUCUCGGAAGCUCAUGAAUCUUUGACUGCGGUAUGUGUGGGGACUUACACACUUGUUCCACGUCUUGAUACUUUAAAAACUUUCACAAAGACGACUCCGGACAAAAAGCACCUCUGUUUAACAAGAUAAUUCUUGCUUUCAGUUUUAUUUCUAUUUUCAACUUCCUAUUCUUUUGUCCUGUGACAUGGCGCUUUCUUCCCCCUCGGGGACUCCUUUCUCUUCUUUCUCCCCUCCUAUUCUGAACUGUUUUACAGCCCCGCUUUGUUACUGUCAGGAAAAAAUGUCUGGAGAGCCCUGUCUCCUAAAGAAGGAACAGAAAAGGGAGGACUGGGGCUGCAAUGUUGCCUAUGCAUGCAGAACAUCCCAAUCUGUUUUUGUGCAUUGAGUUGGGGAGAGGGCAGCAGGGAGCGUGCACCCAGCCUCAGCCCGGACAAAGGGAGGCCGGACAGCUGCGCACCCGCCACAAAAGAUUCACUCUUCUGUCAACUCUGUUUACUUAGUGUUGUUUCUGACCUCUGUGCUACACUUGUUGCUAAUACAUAUGCUUAUCAAACCAUUUUAAUUGGCUUUCUUCAUAACAUUAGUCCCAGCACUUUUUUCUGCGUGUGUUUCCAAACAACUUAAUUGACUUCUCCAAUAUUCAUCUUCUCGGGUUCUAUAACGACGGGUUCCUGCCCUCCCCCCACCCCCGCUCCCCGGCCCCCAGGAUAAGAAAAGGUCCAGAGGUGUCCGCCACGGGCAGAGCUUCCCCUUCCCGCAGGGGUGUCUUCACAGGGAUUCGGGCCCGAAGGGACACCCCGCUCCCCGAGGGACAGCCGUGUAGCAGAUAAGCGAGCUGCCUACCCCUAGCUCUUUUAAAUGUGUCUUUGCUUUGUUUUAUGGCACCCGGCCGAGCGAUGCCGGCCCGAGCGGACCCGGCACCACCCUCGGAACCGUCAAUGGGACCGGGAGCGCGGGGCCGAGCAGCGCGCACCGUCCGCAGUGCCCUGCGGGAUCCUUAUGGUCCCGCGUUCCGCAGGGCUGGGGUACGGGGGGCUGCCUCCUACAUCACCCAGCCCCCAACCCCCGUAGCCUUUAUCCACUGUAUCAACCACUUUGCUUGAGCCUUGAACCUUGAGCCUUGAGCCUUUCUCCCCACCACCACCCUUCAUUCUUUUUCUUUCUUUUUUCUUUCUUUCUUUUUUUUUCUUUUUUUUCUUUUUUUUUUUUUUCUUAAACAAUUUCGUAAUUAAUUGUUGAGCCCGGGUUUGUAAUGGAAACAAUCCUGCGAGGCCGGAUGGUUGUUAUGAUUUUCUUUCUUUAGCGCUUCUCCCCCUUCGCAAGCAUUGUUCGUGGUGACUGUCUGGGCUCAGAUAUGAUGUUGGGACAGCGCCUCCCUUGAAAUGGAAACAGAGGCCUGAAUAAAGGAGGGUGGAAAAAAAGUACUUUGUAGUCUGCAUCGUCCAUCUUUAAUUCAGAGACGCAUCUAUACUCCUGGGAGCGCCGCCUUUGAUCUCUUUGAUUUUUACACCAGAUCUGUUAUGGACUAAAAUUCCUAGGUUUUCCAUAGAAACAUCUCCAUUCCUUCGGGAUAUUGAUGUUUUCUUCUUCCUAGGGGUUAUGAUAUGGUAAAUCAGAUUCAGAAAAGCAUGGACAAUGCCAGCAUUCAUGGGUCGGGGGGCGGGGGUGGGGGGGCGGGAGCCUCUCUCUCUUCUCCCAAUGAAUCAAAAUAUUGUUUAUUCUGUUGCUCUUUAAGCCCAGUCACUUCAGCUGCCUUUCAGUGCCUUCAACUCUGGAAGAGGGGCAGCAGCAGCAGCAGCAGCAGGUUGCGUUGCCAUGGGGACCCUACUGUAUGGCAGCAGCGCCAGCCCCAAAGACAAUGCCUCGCAAAGGGGCUUGAAAAGUGAGGUUUCUCCCUUUGCCACGCAGCCACUUCCGAUGGAGCAAGCAUUCUCCUUUCGGGACCCUCAUCUUGUCACUAGAACAAUGUCUAUCUUCGCCUGCCAAUUUUUUUUCUCUAUCCUGCCUUUGAUCUAUAAAAAAUCAAAAGAACAAAGUCAGGGGAGAAUAGGGGGCUUUUUUUGUUGUUGAUGCACAGAACAGGCUUUUAUAAUUUGGGUCUACUUUUGUGCCUGAGGAUUGCAGGGGCAGGGAAGGAGGGUAGCUGAUUUGUGUGCUGGGCUCCCUCCGGCCCUGCCGACCCCAGGCAUGGCGUGUGCCAAAGGACCCCCCCCCUCUCCCUCCUCCCCGGAGCAGCUUGAGUCUGGCCGGGUGCUGCCCAGCCCUCUGUCCCCUGCCCUUAGCCCUAAGGGUUUUGCUGCAGGCUGGGACCUUCCCACCACCAGGCCCAGGCUGCCAUUGGAAGGCACUGACCCUGCCCGGGUCGGUGGGACUGCCCAAGCCUACUGCUUAAUGCUGGUAUCAGUAACAGAGAUGGGUGCAGAAACAGCAGCAUACCCGUUGCAGUAGAUUUUAAUGCAUUAUGCAAAUGGAUGCUUUUUUUCCAAUUAAUGGUUUUGUGUGAGUAUUAGAGAAAUCAACGUGUCACUAAUGUUUCUUCCUUAGAAAUCAGAUGAAUCUGGACAGCGUGGGGCCCUGAAAUGCUAUCGUGGCUUUACACAACACUAAGCCAAAGAAACAGGGGUGUCCAUGCAUGUGUUUGACUUCUCUGUUAGUAAGCAGCAACAGGCAUUGUCACACGUGUGUAGGGCAGGCUAUAAAUAACCCUGGAAGGAAAACCGAGUCCAGCUUUGGUUCCUUCCAUGAGGACAAGUGGCUGGUUGGGCUCACAUGUCACAGUAGGCAUGUAACCCCCUGGAAUUAACCCUAAUCACAUGGCUUGGUUCCUUGCCUCACUU
ensembl:lncRNA